CUUGGAUCAAACUGUGAUGAGAGGGACUUCAUAGACUUCACUUGUCCCUGGUUUGUAACAUGGUCAUGAUUGUUGGGACCCUGGACAGCACCAGUCACUUUUCACUCUCCGAGGCUAGAACAAAAGGAACUGGGGACCUGAAGAAGAGGCCAAGCAGUAAGUAUAGCUGCCUUGUUCCGGAAGAUACCCCUGCUCCUCCUAAAGAGCGUAGUCAUCCAUACAGCAGACUUCUUUCAAGCUGGGGUCAAGGCCUCUGCUCUCAGAGGAAGCGUGUCAACAUCUCUUCCCCCGGUUGCCCCUCACAUCAUGGCAACCACUCACAACACAUGUUUAUCUGGAGAGCCCCGGUCAGCAACAUGCUCAGACAAGCUGAACAGAAGUCUCUGCUGUGUGCAGGAGAAUGGAGUUUUUGGCGUGCCCUGUGGCCCUGA
rnacentral:lncRNA from 1 species